AGCAUAUCAAUAAGCGGAGGAAAAGAAACUAACAAGGAUUCCCCUAGUAACGGCGAGUGAAGCGGGAAGAGCUCAAAUUUAAAAUCUGGCGGUGUAUUCUGUCCGAGUUGUAGUCUAGAGAAGCAUCAUCCGUGCUGGACCAUGUACAAGUCUCUUGGAACAGAGCGUCAUAGAGGGUGAGAAUCCCGUCCUUGACAUGGACUGCCAGUACUUUGUGUUGUGCUCUCAACGAGUCGAGUUGUUUGGGAAUGCAGCUCAAAAUGGGUGGUAAAUUCCAUCUAAAGCUAAAUAUUGGCGAGAGACCGAUAGCGAACAAGUACCGUGAGGGAAAGAUGAAAAGCACUUUGGAGAGAGAGUUAAACAGUACGUGAAAUUGUUGAAAUGGAAACGCUUGAAGUCAGUNNCGUUCUCUGGAUUCAGCCUGGCUUUUGCUUGGUGCAUUUCCCGGUCUACGGGCCAGCAUGAAUUUUGACCAAUGGAAAAAGCUUGGGGAAUGUGGCACUUCGGGUGUGUUAUAGCCCCUUGUCACAUACGUUGGUUGGGAUUGAGGUCUUAGUGCACGCUUCGGUUGUGCUUUGAUGCUGGCGUAAUGGCUUUAAACGACCCGUCUUGAAACACGGACCAAGGAGUCUAACAUGUCUGCAAGUGUUUGGGUGCAAAACCCGAGCGCGAAAUGAAAGUGAUAGUUGGGAACCUCUUNNGAGGGGCACCGACGCCCGGACCAGACCUUCUGUGACGGAUCCGAGGUAGAGCAUAUAUGUUGGGACCCGAAAGAUGGUGAACUAUGCCUGCAUAGGGUGAAGCCAGAGGAAACUCUGGUGGAGGCUCGUAGCGAUUCUGACGUGCAAAUCGAUCGUCAAAUGUGGGUAUAGGGGCGAAAGACUAAUCGAACCAU
rnacentral:rRNA from 1 species